rnacentral:rRNA from 1 species
CCCCUAGAUGUUCUGGGCCGCACGCGCGCUACACUGAACAGUUCAACAAGUCUUAACCUUGGCCGAUAGGUCUGGGUAAUCUUUGAACGCUGUUCGUGAUUGGGAUAGACCUUUGCAAUUAUUAAUCUUCAACGAGGAAUGCCUAGUAAGCGCAAGUCAUCAGCUUGCGUUGAUUACGUCCCUGCCCUUUGUACACACCGCCCGUCGCUCCUACCGAUUGAAUGGUCCGGUGAAGCGUUCGGACCGUGGCCUUUGGACGGUUCGCCGUCUGUUGGCUGCGGGAAGUUCGUUAAACCUUAUCAUUUAGAGGAAGGAGAAGUCGUANCA